rnacentral:rRNA from 1 species
AACGAACGCUGGCGGCAUGCCUAACACAUGCAAGUCGAACGAGACCUUCGGGUCGAGUGGCGCACGGGUGCGUAACGCGUGGGAACCUGCCCUUAGGUGCGGAAUAACUCCCCGAAAGGGGUGCUAAUACCGGAUAAUGUCUUCGGACCAAAGAUUUAUCGCCUUUGGAUGGGCCCGCGUUGGAUUAGCUAGUUGGUAGGGUAAAAGCCUACCAAGGCGACGAUCCAUAGCUGGUCUGAGAGGAUGAUCAGCCACACUGGGACUGAGACACGGCCCAGACUCCUACGGGAGGCAGCAGUGGGGAAUAUUGGACAAUGGGCGAAAGCCUGAUCCAGCAAUGCCGCGUGAGUGAUGAAGGCCUUAGGGUUGUAAAGCUCUUUUACCCGGGAUGAUAAUGACAGUACCGGGAGAAUAAGCUCCGGCUAACUCCGUG